rnacentral:lncRNA from 1 species
CUUACCUGUUUGGCAAACAUGGGCUGUGAGUCCAAUUCCAGGGCAUCUCCAGCCCGCAAGUCGACCUGCCUGCUGCUAAUAAGGUAUAUCAUGACGAAUGUUUCCCUCUACUGGGAAAAAGGAUAGAUCCUACAGCCUGGCUACCGCGGUAGGAAACACUUGGCGAAUAUCCCGCGAAAAAGAACUUGUAGUUCCAGUAGCCUUAGCAAUAGACAGAUUUGCUGCUCAGCAGAUUCAGAGGGCCCUGAACAUGAACAUCUGCAUGGCUGAACUUCAAGGACCUGAGAUUGUGCGACCUUGCAAGACUUGCCAAAAUCUCCUUCCCUGAAACCAGAUCCUCUGGCCACAUGGAAAUCUUCAAAUUCCCAACUGGAAAGCCAGAGAAGGGAGAAACAGAGACCCCAGUGUUCCAUUUACAUAUACCAAUAUUAUAGAGUAAUUAUUCCUUCCUUCAUGUCCAGGGAACCAAACCUGUGCAUUCCAUAACUUGUCUGUACAUCCAAUUGUACCUUUCAGCCAUAUUGUAAUGCUCACAUGAGUUUUUGUGUUGAGUCACCUCAGCCUCUGAUGAAACAUUAGGCUUCUAGAACCCUCAACUGAGGAGCAUGUCAAAGAACUGUUAGCCCAUCUCAGAGGGUACAAGUCCAUCAUGUUCAUGGCUGUGUCUUUAAAACAACCCUUUAAAUAUUCCCAGAAAACAUUAUGACCG